rnacentral:rRNA from 1 species
AACGAACGCUGGCGGCAUGCCUAACACAUGCCAGUCGAACGAGACCUUCGGGUCUAGUGGCGCACGGGUGCGUAACGCGUGGGAAUCUGCCCUUGGGUUCGGAAUAACAGUUGGAAACGACUGCUAAUACCGGAUGAUGACGUAAGUCCAAAGAUUUAUCGCCCAAGGAUGAGCCCGCGUAGGAUUAGCUAGUUGGUGAGGUAAAGGCUCACCAAGGCGACGAUCCUUAGCUGGUCUGAGAGGAUGAUCAGCCACACUGGGACUGAGACACGGCCCAGACCCCUCCGGGAGGCAGGAGGGGGGAAUUUUGGACAAGGGGCGAAAGCCUGAUCCAGCAAGGCCGGGUGAGUGAUGAAGGCCUUAGGGUUGUAAAGCUCUUUUCCCCGGGAUGAUAAUGACAGGACCGGGAAAAUAAGCCCCGGCUAACCCCGG